CCUACGGGAGGCAGCAGUGAGGAAUAUUGGUCAAUGGACGAGAGUCUGAACCAGCCAAGUAGCGUGAAGGAUGACUGCCCUAUGGGUUUUAAACUUCUUUUAUCAAGGAAUAAAACGAGGCACGUGUGCCUUUUUGCAUGUACUUUAUGAAUAAGCAUCGGCUAACUCCGUGCCAGCAGCCGCUGUAAUACGUAGGAUUCGCGCGUUAUCCGGCUUUAUUGGGUUUAAAGAGAGCGUAGAUGGGUUGUUAAGUCAGUUGUGAAAGUUUGCGGCUCAACCGUAAAAUUGUAAUUGAUACUGGUAGUCUUGAGUACAGUUGAGGUAGGCGGAAUUCGUGGUGUAGCGGUGUAAUGCUUAGAUAUCACGAAGAACCCCGAUUGCGAAGGCAGCUUACUAAACUGUGACUGACAUUGAUGCACGAAAGUGUGGGUAUCAAACAGGAUUAGAUACCCGGGUAGUC
rnacentral:rRNA from 1 species